GUAAACGGUGGGCGCUAUUUGUGGGAACCUUCCACGGUUUCUGCGACGCAGCUAACGCAUUAAGCGCCCCGCCUGGGGAGUACGAUCGCAAGAUUAAAACUCAAAGGAAUUGACGGGGCCCCGCACAAGCAGCGGAGCAUGCGGCUUAAUUCGACGCAACGCGAAGAACCUUACCAAGGCUUGACAUAUACAGGAAUAUGGCAGAGAUGUCAUAGCGGUAAAACGUCUGUAUACAGGUGGUGCAUGGUUGUCGUCAGCUCGUGUCGUGAGAUGUUGGGUUAAGCCCCGCAACGAGCGCAACCCUCGUUCUGUGUUGCCAGCAUUUAGUUGGGGACUCACAGGAGACUGCCGGGGUUAACUCGGAGGAAGGUGGGGAUGACGUCAAAUCAUCAUGCCCCUUAUGUCUUGGGCUGCACGCAUGCUACAAUGGCUGGUACAAAGGGCUGCAAUACUGCAAAGUGGAGCGAAUCCCAAAAAGCCAGUCUCAGUUCGGAUUGGGGUCUACAACUCGACCCCAUGAAGUCGGAGUUGCUAGUAAUCGUAGAUCAGCAACGCUACGGUGAUACGUUCCCGGGGCUUGUACACACCGCCCGUCACAUCACGAAAGUCGGUAACACCCAAAGUCAGUGGCCCAACC
rnacentral:rRNA from 1 species